UCAGUGGCCAACUUGUCAAUUUCAGCCUUCAGGUCUACAACAGAGACAGAGGCCUGGUCACAAUGGCCCCUGAGUGACUAGGUGUUGUACCACGGUACUCAGGCAGCGCAACAUACUGACAGCGCGUGUGUUAAAGGUGCCUUCGAGGUGCUGAACACAUCGCUACCGUGGCUGGGGCUGAAACUACGGACACACACGAGAAUCCUUUGCAUACCACAUUAAUAUGAAAUGUGUUUCUGUUGAUGCUUGAAGAUGCUUCUUUGUAAAUUAAAAAAAAAAAAAAAAGUUUCUUUGUAAAGCUUGCUCUUUCUUGACUCAUGAAUUUUGUCUCAAAAUCUGCCUUGUUUCUGAACUCAAAAACACCCCUGAUUGCGGCAAACCAUGCUGGGCCAUCUGCUGCUGCUGGUGUGCUGGUCUGUGCAGCCACAGCUCACGGCGUCAAAGCUGGCCCUCCUUUAUCCACGGAAGGGUUCUUCUGCUCACCCUACUGCUCACCCUGUUUUGCUGAUCAUUUGCAACUUGCUUCUGUGUCCUAUUGCUGUUUUUCUGUUCGUUCCUCUUAUAUGCUUUUUUUCCUCCAGACAUUUUACCACUGGGAGGCUGGUGGUGCCCGAAGGCACUGAGGCUGCAGAAGUCUACUGCCUGGUCUCUGGUAAAGUUCAUAGAAACAUCGACGGAAAGAGACGAAAGUCUGGCUCUGACGUAGUAUGGCGACAGACAACAGGGAGCAUCUGCGGAUACUCUACGUUCAUGCUCCACUUCCUUCCAGGUCCUCGGAGAGGCUGAGAACGCACAUGGACCGGAAUCUCCAGCUGGUGUUUCGGGGCCUGGCCUCAAGAGUCAGAAUUGUACAACGGAGAGAACGAGCUGAUUCUUGCCAUCCAACAGGCAGUUCUCAGCAAACCACACCCAGGGUUUUACAUGAUGUUCUCCUCUUCAGAAGUAAACGUGCCCAGAGAAACUUAAGAUAUAGCUUCGUGUACUCCGAGUACCCUAACACCAGCUGACUACAGCCGUAUGGCCGCACAGGAUGGAUGAUAAGGCCUACAUAUCCCUCAGCGGAACUUCUCAUAGCACAAAGUCCUGCCCACCAAUACGAGAUGCCAUCUAAGGCCACACUCUGACAGCCACACUAACUGCAGCGAAGCAGAGACGUGUAGUCAUCCUAGCAACACGGACCGUGAAGAGGAGAAGCGACUCUAGAAUCAGCUUUGGCUUCCUGAAUUCUUGAGGAGAUACAAAAAAUACAUAUUCUCUGAGUUCUUGAGGCAGUGCCUGAAUACUUCAUUUGCGGUGAAGAAGCUGAUACGGAAAUGAGGAUCAUCAUGACUCUCUCUUAAGAAAUACAAGAGACGGGACCAGCGGGUAGUGUGGUGGUUAAGGCGCUGGAUGCUCCCACGUGGCUGACCAUGGUUCAAAUCCUGGACCUGGUGGCUUGCUUUCU